rnacentral:rRNA from 1 species
UACGGGGGGGGCAAGCGUUGUUCGGAAUUACUGGGCGUAAAGGGCGCGUAGGUGGCGCGACAAGUCAACGGUGAAAGCUCGGCGCUCAACGCCGAGUCGGCCGUCGAUACUGUUGGGCUUGAGCACUGUAGAGGCUAAUGGAAUUCCGGGUGUAGCGGUGGAAUGCGUAGAGAUCCGGAAGAACACCGGUGGCGAAGGCGGUUAGCUGGGCAGUUGCUGACACUGAGGCGCGACAGCGUGGGGAGCAAACAGG